GGUGUGUUGGCUUAAUUGGUAAAGCAUAGUAGUACGGUUACUAAGAUUUUGAGUUCGAGUCUCUUACACAUCA